CCCAAACCCGAAUACUUCGAUUAUUAUUUAAUGGCUAAAUUACAUAAAACCCUCCUGUCAAAAUCCGCUUUUUUACUUUCCCCCAUUGUCAUUUAAAAACCUACACUUUGCUCCCUUGUAAAAUAAAAAAUGUGCACAGGGGGGAUACGGUGUGAAAAAUGACCAUUUUGCCCUCCGCUAUUUUCGUCUUCUCCUCCAUCCUCCUCAUCCGCGGCCUCGAUCGGCCGUGGUUUGCCCCUCGAUCGGUCACGAUUUCCCUUCACUUUUUUCUCCACAUACUCCGCUUCUCCUCCUACAGCUUCGUCGCACCUCGAUUUCGGCGAUAGUAUGGAGGAAAUCAAGGUGGGCGUGGAUGGAGAGGUGGCAACGACAACAAGGGCGAAGUCGAGGCGACGGAGGAGGGCGAGGGGGUGGUUGUGGGCGCAGACAGAGAGGUGGGCGAGGGCGAGGCAGUGGAGGAAGGCGAGGCGGCGGCGAGGCGCAGAGGUGGAGGAAGAGAAGCAACAAGAAGAGGGCGGAGGGGUAUUUUUGGCAUAAAUUUUUUUUUUAACGGAACCCUAAUGGAUCGCUAACAGCAGGGGGUGAAGUACACAUUUUUUAUUUUACAAGGGGGCAAAAUGUAGGUUUUUAAAUGACAGGGGGGAAGUAAAAAAGCUGGUUUUGACAGGAAGGUUUUCUGUAAUUUAGCCUUAUUUAAUUGUGAAUUAUUUGGCCUACAAUUUACAUAUAUAUAUAUAUAUAUAUAUAUAUAUAUAUAUAUAUAUAUAUAUAUAUAUAUAUAUAGAGUAGAGCUAUAAUACUUUUACAAGUAUCACUCCUAUGGUGCUUGUGUGUUUUUAAUCCUUGGAUGGAGAGAUGUGAGGUUGAGAUGAUAGUGGUAGGUGGUGGUAGGUGGUAGUGGGUGGAAUAGUAUUUGAUCCAAGGACUAUUAAUAAUCAAGAGGUAGAUCCAAUGGUUAAAAAACUAAUAGCACCAUAGAAGUGAUACUUGUAAAAAUAUCCUAGCUCAACUCUAUAUAUAUAUAUAUAGAGAGAGAGAGAGAGAGAGAGAGAGAGUUCGGUUAUGGUUAAAAGCACCAAGUACUUAUGGUUGUAAGUUUUGCACUGUUAGAUCUAUCUCUUUGACCAAUUCUAUUCCUCGGAUCAUAUUAUUUUAUCAAGCACCCACUCAAUUCUAGAGGACCAAUAUUAUCCUAACAUUAUAGAUCUUCAUCCAAAGGUCAAAAAUUCAAAAGCAUUAAUAACUUGCUAUUUUUAAAAGUAUAGAAGGUCAAUUCUCUCUCUAUUAUAUAUAUAUAUAUAUAGAGAGAGAGAGAGAGAGAGAGAGAGAGAGAGAGUUAGGCUUUCAUACUUUUGAAAGUACGGGGGUCUUCGUACAUGUAAAUUAUUUUCGAUAAUGGAAUAUUUGUUUGGCGAUCAGUUUCGUUAAAUAUGAUCUACGAUAUUAGAAUUAUUUAAAAACUAAAUUUUAUAAUUUUUUGACUUUAUUUGCCCAGUAAACAAGUAGAUCAUACUAUCCCAACAAUCACUUGUUCAACCUUAGAGAAUCACUAUUAUUCUAGCCUUAUAAAUUUUUAUUCAAUGACCGAAAAGCUACAAGCACGAUAAUUUUUUACUUUCAAAAGUAUAAAAACUCAAUUAUAUAUAUUUAUAUUUAUAUAAUU
rnacentral:lncRNA from 1 species